CCUACGGGUUGCAGCAGUGGGGAAUAUUGGACAAUGGGCGAAAGCCUGAUCCAGCAAUGCCGCGUGUGUGAAGAAGGUCUUCGGAUUGUAAAGCACUUUCGACGGGGACGAUGAUGACGGUACCCGUAGAAGAAGCCCCGGCUAACUUCGUGCCAGCAGCCGCGGUAAUACGAAGGGGGCUAGCGUUGCUCGGAAUGACUGGGCGUAAAGGGCGCGUGGGCGGUUUAUGCAGUCAGAUGUGAAAUCCCCUGGCUUAACCGGGGAACUGCGGUUGAGACGCAUAGACUAGUGGUCGAGAGAGGGUUGUGGAAUUCCCAGUGUAGAGGUGAAAUUCGUAGAUAUUGGGAAGAACACCGGUGGCGAAGGCGGCAACCUGGCUCGAUACUGACGCUGAGGCGCGAAAGCGCGGGGAGCAAACAGGAUUAGAUACCCCUGUAGUC
rnacentral:rRNA from 1 species